rnacentral:snRNA from 1 species
GUGUUCACUUUGGCAGCACAUAUACUAACAUUGAAAUGAUACAGACCUUAAUUAACAUGGCCCCUGCACAAGGAUAACUAGCAAAUUUGUGAAACAUUCCAUAUUUUU